GUCCACGCCGUAAACGAUGGAUACUAGCUGUUCGGAGCAAUCUGAGUGGCUAAGCGAAAGUGAUAAGUAUCCCACCUGGGGAGUACGUUCGCAAGAAUGAAACUCAAAGGAAUUGACGGGGGCCCGCACAAGCGGUGGAGCAUGUGGUUUAAUUCGAUGAUACGCGAGGAACCUUACCAAGGCUUAAAUGUAGAUUGACCGAUUUGGAAACAGAUCUUUCGUAAGACAAUUUACAAGGUGCUGCAUGGUUGUCGU
rnacentral:rRNA from 1 species